GACGAACGCUGGCGGCGUGCUUAACACAUGCAAGUCGAACGGAAAGGCCCUGCUUUUGUGGGGUGCUCGAGUGGCGAACGGGUGAGUAUCACGUGAGUAACCUGCCCUUGACUUUGGGAUAACUUCAGGAAACUGUGGCUAAUACCGGAUAGGAGCUCCUGCUGCUUGGUGGGGGUUGGAAAGUUUCGGCGGUUGGGGAUGGACUCGCGGCUUAUCAGCUUGUUGGUGGGGUAGUGGCUGACCAAGGCUUUGACGGGUAGCCGGCCUGAGAGGGUGACCGGCCACAAUGGGACUGAGGUACGGCCCAGAAGCCUACGGGAGGCAGCAGUGGGGAAUAUUGCACAAUGGGGGGAAGCCUGAUGCAGCAACGACGCGUGCGGGAUGACGGACUUCGGGUGGUAAACAGCUUUCGCCUGUGACGAAGAGGGAGUGACGGUAAUGGGUAAAGAAGCACCGGCUAACUACGUG
rnacentral:rRNA from 1 species